GACGAACGCUGGCGGCGUGCCUGACACAUGCAAGUCGAACGAGGUCCAUCCUUCGGGAGAAGACCUAGUGGCGAACGGGUGAGUAACACGUGAAGAACCUGCCCCGAAGACCGGGAUAACCCUCCGAAAAGGAGAGCUAAUACCGGAUACCCCACCGAACCGCAUGGUUGGUGAGGAAAUGGAUUCCGCCUCGGGAGGGCUUCGCGGCCUAUCAGCUAGUUGGUGGGGUAACGGCCCACCCAAGGCAUCGACGGGUAGCUGGUCUGAGAGGACGAUCAGCCACACUGGGACCGAGACACGGCCCAGACUCCUACGGGAGGCAGCAGUGGGGAAUCUUGCGCAAUGGGCGAAAGCCUGACGCAGCAACGCCGGCGUGGGGGAUGAAGGCUCUCGGGUU
rnacentral:rRNA from 1 species